rnacentral:rRNA from 1 species
UGGGGAAUUUUGGACAAUGGGCGAAAGCCUGAUCCAGCAAUGCCGCGUGUGUGAAGAAGGCCUUCGGGUUGUAAAGCACUUUUGUCCGGAAAGAAAUCCUUGGCUCUAAUACAGUCGGGGGAUGACGGUACCGGAAGAAUAAGCACCGGCUAACUACGUGCCAGCAGCCGCGGUAAUACGUAGGGUGCAAGCGUUAAUCGGAAUUACUGGGCGUAAAGCGUGCGCAGGCGGUUUGCUAAGACCGAUGUGAGAUCCCCGGGCUCAACCUGGGAACUGCAUUGGUGACUGGCAGGCUAGAGUAUGGCAGAGGGGGGUAGAAUUCCACUGUAGCAGUGAAAUGCGUAGAGAUGUGGAGGAAUACCGAUGGCGAAGGCAGCCCCCCUGGGCCAAUACUGACGCUCAUGCACGAAAGCGUGGGGAGCAAACAGGAUUAGAUACCCUGGUAGUCCACGCCCUAAACGAUGUCAACUAGUUGUUGGGGAUUCAUUUCCUUAGUAACGUAGCUAACGCGUGAAGUUGACCGCCUGGGGAGUACGGUCGCAAGAUUAAAACUUAAAUGAAUUGACGGGGUCAUAGCUGUUUCCU